rnacentral:rRNA from 1 species
GAUGAACGCUGGCGGCGUGCCUAAUACAUGCAAGUCGAGCGAACGGACGAGAAGCUUGCUUCUCUGAUGUUAGCGGCGGACGGGUGAGUAACACGUGGAUAACCUACCUAUAAGACUGGGAUAACUUCGGGAAACCGGAGCUAAUACCGGAUAAUAUUUUGAACCGCAUUGUUCAAAAGUGAAAGACGGUCUUGCUGUCACUUAUAGAUGCAUCCGCGCGGCAUUAGCUAGUUGGUAAGGUAACGGCUUACCAAGGCAACGAUGCAUAGCCGACCUGAGAGGAGGAUCGGCCACACUGGCACUGAGACCCGGUCGAGACUCCUACGGGAGGCAGCAGUAGGGAAUCUUCCGCCAUGGGCGAAAGCCUGACGGAGCACAGCCGCGUGAGUGAUGAAGGUCUUCGGAUCGUAAAACUAUGUUAUUAGGGAAGAACAUAUGUGUCAGUAACUGUGCACAUCUUGACGGUACCUAACCAGAAAGCCACGGCUAACUACGUG